rnacentral:rRNA from 1 species
AACGCGAAGAACCUUACCAGCCCUUGACAUGGGGAGUUUGGGUAUCAGAGAUGGUACCCUUCAGUUCGGCUGGCUCCCACACAGGUGCUGCAUGGCUGUCGUCAGCUCGUGUCGUGAGAUGUUGGGUUAAGUCCCGCAACGAGCGCAACCCUCAUCGUCAGUUGCCAUCAUUUAGUUGGGCACUCUGACGAAACUGCCGGUGACAAGCCGGAGGAAGGCGGGGAUGACGUCAAGUCCUCAUGGCCCUUAUGGGCUGGGCUACACACGUGCUACAAUGGCGGUGACAGUGGGGUGCAAGACCGCGAGGUGGAGCAAAUCCCAAAAAGCCGUCUCAGUUCAGAUUGCACUCUGCAACUCGAGUGCAUGAAGGUGGAAUCGCUAGUAAUCGUGGAUCAGCAUGCCACGGUGAAUACGUUCCCGGGCCUUGUAACACCGCUCGUC